rnacentral:rRNA from 1 species
CCUACAUGAAGCUGGAAUUGCUAGUAAUCACAGGUCAGCAUACUGUGGUGAAUACGUUCCCGGGCCUUGUACACACCGCCCGUCACACCAUGAGAGUUGAGAAUACCCGAAGCCCAUGUCAAAGUGGUCGAAGGUAGGCUUGAUGAUUGGGGUGAAGUCGUAACAAGGUAUC